rnacentral:rRNA from 1 species
GAUGAACGCUAGCUACAGGCUUAACACAUGCAAGUCGAGGGGCAGCGGGAUUGAAGCUUGCUUCAAUUGCCGGCGACCGGCGCACGGGUGAGUAACGCGUAUCCAACCUUCCGUACACUCAGGGAUAGCCUUUCGAAAGAAAGAUUAAUACCUGAUGGUAUGAUGAGAUUGCAUGAUAGCAUCAUUAAAGAUUUAUCGGUGUACGAUGGGGAUGCGUUCCAUUAGGUAGUAGGCGGGGUAACGGCCCACCUAGCCUACGAUGGAUAGGGGUUCUGAGAGGAAGGCCCCCCCACAUUGGAACUGAGACACGGUCCAAACUCCUACGGGAGGCAGCAGUGAGGAAUAUUGGUCAAUGGACGAGAGUCUGAACCAGCCAAGUAGCGUGAAGGAUGAAGGUCUUACGGAUUGUAAACUUCUUUUAUAAGGGAAUAAACCCUCCCACGUGUGGGNGCUUGUAUGUACCUUAUGAAUAAGC